rnacentral:rRNA from 1 species
UACGUAGGGGGCAAGCGUUGUCCGGAAUCAUUGGGCGUAAAGCGCGUGUAGGCGGCCCGGUAAGUCCGCUGUGAAAGUCCAGGGCUCAACCCUGGAAUGCCGGUGGAUACUGUCGGGCUCGAGUCCGGAAGAGGCGAGUGGAAUUCCCGGUGUAGAGGUGAAAUUCGUAGAUAUCGGGAGGAACACCAGUGGCGAAGGCGGCGACCUGGGCCAAUAUUGACGCUGAGGUGCGAAAGCGUGGGGAGCAAACAGG